rnacentral:misc_RNA from 1 species
AACGCACAUUGCGCCCGCCAGUAUUCUGGCGGGCAUGCCUGUUCGAGCGUCAUUUCAACCCUCAAGCCCCCGGGCUUGGUGCUGGGGAUCGGCCGUUACGGGCCGGCCCCGAAAUCUAGUGGCGGUCUCGCUGUAGCCUCCUCUGCGUAGUAGCAACACCUCGCACUGGAACGCGGCGCGGCCAUGCCGUUAAACCCCAACUUCUAAAGGUUGACCUCGGAUCAGGUAGGAAUACCCGCUGAACUUAA